AUACUUGCCUAGCAGGGGAGAUACCAUAAUCAUAAAGGUGGUUUUCCCAGGGCAAGGCUUAUUCAUUGCACUGCAGAUAGGCUGACUCCUGUGAUUUCCUCAAAUGUGGAAAAGGGACUGCAUAAUUUGUGGUGGGGGAGACUGCUUCACACUGUCUCCUU
rnacentral:snRNA from 1 species